rnacentral:rRNA from 1 species
AGUGAACGCUGGCGGCAGGCCUAACACAUGCAAGUCGAGCGGCAGCGGGUCCCCGCGAGGGGAUGCCGGCGAGCGGCGGACGGGUGAGGAACACAUCGGAAUCUGCCUGGUUGUGGGGGAUAACGUAGGGAAACUUACGCUAAUACCGCAUGCGACCCUGAGUCGACGGACUGGGGGUGAAAGUGAGGGACCUUCGGGCCUCACGCGACCAGAUGAGCCGAUGUCGGAUUAGCUAGUUGGCGGGGUAACGGCCCGCCAAGGCGACGAUCCGUAGCUGGUCUGAGAGGAUGAUCAGCCACACUGGGACUGAGACACGGCCCAGACUCCUACGGGAGGCAGCAGU